rnacentral:rRNA from 1 species
AUGCCCAAAGGGCCAAGGUGCAAGACUUCAAGGCAUCACCUGAGGAUACAAGACCUGCCUGAAGCUGUAACCAUGGGCAAAAGUCCAGAACAAAAGUUGCUAAGAGCCCUAGGGAAAUUGCUUGUCUGCUCAACUGUGCUUGCCCAACCUGAGGCCACAAGUGUUCCAGAAGUAGUAGAAGCAACUGGCCAGGGGAACACUUCCCAUUUCUCUGAUGUGGAGGAGCGGUACCAUGGAUUCAUGCGUGUUAGUGGGAAGACAACCAAUGCACUAGAAAUCAAUGUUCUAGAUGUGAGUGAGCGUUUUGCAAGGCAAGGGUAA